UGGUGGGUUUUUUCCUUUCUGUUGUCCUUCCCAUACUUCUCCAUGGCAGGUUCACGUUCAUGCCACCAAGAGAAGCAAACAGUUUUGCCUCCGAUACUGAAGAUCACUUAUUUAGUCCUUUGAACUGGGUCAUUUGCAGGUGAUGCCUUUUCGUGACCCAGCUCUUCCAGGAAAAGGCUUCAUUUCAUUGCCGAGAGAAAUGUAGAAGGGUCCUUCAGAAUGAAAGAGACAUCUUCUGGAAAAUGAAGUUUCAUCCUAAAUUCUCAGUCCAGGCUUACGCCGUAACAGCCAGGCAGUGUUGGAGGUGCAGGAGCUCAGUGUUUGGAUGGCCAGCUGACCCCAAGCAAUGCCCAUGUGGCAGUGAAUG